UACGGUAGGGUGCAAGCGUUUAAUUCGGAAUAGCUAGGGCGUGAAAGCGUGCGCAGGCGGUUUUGUAAGUCUGUACUGAAAUCCCCGGGGCUCAACCUUGGGAAUUGCGAAUGGAGACUGCAUAGCUAGGGUGCGGAAGGAGGGAAGCGGAAUUUCCGGUGUAGCGGUGAAAUGCGUAGAUAUCGGGAAAGGAACGACCAGUGGCGGAAAAGCGGCUUCCCU
rnacentral:rRNA from 1 species